rnacentral:lncRNA from 1 species
ACUCCCCAGCUGUGAAAGGAGGAGCUCUACGGUGACUUUGAAGACUUGGAAACAGGGGACAUGCACAAGGGAAAAUCGGGCCCCGACACUCAGAAUGAAGAUAUAGAGAAACAAGGAAGAAAUUGACCCCGACGAAGAAGAAAGUGCCAAGAAAAAGCAUUUGGAUAAGAAGAGAAAAUUGAAGGAGAUGUUUGAUGCGGAAUAUGAUGAAGGAGAAAGCACAUAUUUUGAUGAUCUUAAAGGAGAAAUGCAGAAAGAAGCACAGGUGAUCAGUGGCCCGUGUGGCUUAUGGACACACCAGAGCUCCCAGGGGAAGUGCUCUGAAAACUCAUCCUGGUCAGAGUUCAGAAGGACACGUGGAGUAUAAGGUCAGAUGCGGAGAUAAAGGGAGAUGGUGUGGCCCUCCUGCCUGGGGUUGCUGAGCAGGUUGCUGGAGACAGUGAUGUCACUCUGAAGGAGACAGACACAGAAACGUGUGUACAGUUGAUGCUGAAUCACGUAGAAUUUGAAGAUCAAGAUGAUGAAGCCAGAGUUCAGUAUGAUGGUUUUCGACCUGGGAUGUACGUCCGCGUUGAGAUUGAAAAUGUUCCCUGUGAAUUUGUGCAGAACUUUGACCCCCAUUACCCCAUUAUCCUGGGUGGCUUGGGCAACAGCGAGGGAAAUGUUGGACACGUGCAGAUGCGUCUGAAGAAACAUCGCUGGUAUAAGAAAAUCCUCAAGUCCCAAGAUCCAAUCAUAUUUUCUGUAGGGUGGAGGAGGUUUCAGACCAUCCUGCUCUAUUAUAUUGAAGACCACAAUGGAAGACAAAGGCUUCUAAAGUAUACCCCACAGCACAUGCAUUGUGGAGCAGCCUUUUGGGACCCUAUCACUCCACAGGGAACUGGUUUCUUGGCAAUACAGUCUGUCAGUGGCAUAAUGCCUGAUUUUCGGAUAGCUGCCACAGGAGUUGUCCUUGAUCUGGAUAAAUCCAUAAAAAUUGUGAAGAAAUUAAAGCUAACUGGUUUUCCAUAUAAAAUUUUCAAGAACACUUCAUUUAUUAAGAUAUUGUCUUCAUGCGAACUUGGUAUCCUGUUUCCAUCCCAGCCUUCUAUAACCCAGUAACAUCUUUGUUGAAACCAGUGGGUGAGAAAGACACCUGGUCAGGAAUGUGGACCACGGGCCACCUCGGGCUCGCCCAUGGUGUCAGACUAAAGACAAACAAGGACUCUCUGUAUAAGGUACUGGUCGUGUGUGUGUUAGUGGAGAUGAAGCCUGUGCCCUACAGACAGGGAGUCACGCAGACACUUUUCUAUAAUUUCUUACGUACUUUGAAUGUUCAAGUAUAAAGUCUAAUGUUAAAUUUGAUUGAACAAUUGUAUAUUUGUGGGAUAUUUUGGAAUGGAACACCAAAAAAUGGUAAUAGUGGUUCUUUCUGGAUUGAAGACAAACUUUUCUUUUUUAAAAUAAAUUUUAUUUUAUAUA